CAGUGAUUGAACCCGAGACCUGCCUACAAAGCCUGUGCUCUGUCAUUCUGCUACAGUCCCACCUCUGGCUGCUGAGUGGCAGAUAGAAUGGUAUUUCACAGGUUUUGCUAUGCACAUUCCAUGAUAAAGUAUCAGUGAAGGAGUAAACAUAAACCACUUGUUGAGCACAGCCAAGCUCAUGUGAAUCUUUUGUAUCUUGUGACCAACCCUAUCAUAGCUAUGUGUAAUGUCUAUAAACAGCUGCAUACACGGUGACAGAAGCACCCUCAUUUCACAGACCAAUAGAUACCUUACAGUGCUGCAAGAGGCAGGGCUUGUGAAAAGCCCAAUUAGACAUCAUUUUGCGCCAAAUUAAGUCAUCCCACUUUGGCUUGGUAACAGACACUAGCAUCUAAAGCGGAAAUUCUCUGAGAGCUAUAUAGUGUUUUAUCUGACAACUCCCGGUAUGAACCUGACCCUUUCUCUCCAGUUGUCAGCCUCCAGUUCUCCCUGCACAGGGCUGGAUUUAGGUUUGAUGAGGCCCUAAGCUACUGAAGGUAAUGGGGCCCUUUAUAUGUCCAGCUGUUCUUCAUCAACAACAAAUUGUUGCUGUUUUUUGUGUUGAAUAUAUGCUAUAUGGUAAUUUAUGGACCUAAUAGGUAUCUAAAGCCAUUUGCACAUGCAAAAUGUAGGCACCCUAUAUAUAGAAAUGAGCAAACCAGUGAUAUUUGAGGGAGCAGGCUAGCAGGCGGGGCCCAUUACUUACAUCAUAGGAGCCCACACAACACAAAACACUGUUGCUGUAUGUAGGUUUUAUUUUAUUUGUUUUUUAUCUAAUAUUUUGGAAAUCUACAUCCAGUUUUUCCCCCCUUUAAAUUUUUUUGGGGCCCUAAGCUAUGGCUUGUUUAGCUUAUACGGAAAUCCGGCACUGUCCCUGCACAACGCUUGCUGCCUGCCAGGGCAAUGCUCAUCCAGCAACAACAGUAGCAGUCACCACCACUGCUGUUGUGGGUAACUUUCUGCCCUUCUCCUCACAAGCUCCUUCGCUGCUCCUUCAGAAGAAGAUGGCAGCUGGGGGCAGGUCUGAAAUUCACAGUCCCAGAACAGGGGGAUAAAGAAAAAGAAGAAAAAGGGAGCAGCUGAACAGCAGCAACUGUACAGGUUAAAAUGGCCAGGGUUGUAAGUUGCACAGGGAUCCUACACCAUGGGUAGGCAAAUUAAGGCCUGGGGGCCGGAUCCGGCCCAAUCACCUUCUAAAUCCGGCCUGCAGAUGGUCCGGAAAUCGACGUGUUUUUACAUGAGUAGAAUGUGUCCUUUUAUUUAAAAUGCAUCACUGGGUUAUUUGUGGGGCAUAGGAAUUCGUUCAUAUUUUUUAAAAAAAUAUAGUCGGCCUCCCACAAGGUCUGAGGGACAGUGGACUGGCCCCCUGCUGAAAAAGUUUGCUGACCCCUGUCCUACACCGUAGCAGAGGCUCCCCACUUCAGACUCCGCUACCAACGUGUGGAAGGCGACGGCCAGGUGAUGUGACAGAGGGGGCAAGGGCAAAAAGUGCAGCCCCCUUCUCCCUCCCAGAAAGAGUGAAUGCCCAAUAGUUUGCAGUUGCAUUGAAUCACCUUAUUCAUAAACUGUUCCCAAGAGAAAGCAAAGGCGCUUAGCAUUUAUGCUGCAGUUGGGCUGCACAGCAGAGGGUAAGUUAUAUUGGAAGUACAUUUCCCUGACAUUAUGGGACUUGCUUUCAAGUACCAUGUUUGGAGUUGAGAUGACAAACUGGCCGUGCCUGGAAAGAAUUAAAAGCCAUAAUCGAAUUGAGGGGCAGCCUUUAUUUUUACACAUAAAUCAUUAGCACUAUGCUAGCAGCACACCCGCGGAGAGUUUAUAAGGCUGCACUGGGAGAAAAAUAACAUAAUGUGCCUUAUUUUAAAGUCAGUUUGAAGGUUAUUUAAAAGAAUCAAAGGGAAAAGAUAUGGAUUCAGCUCCCAUGAGAUAGUAAAAGAAAAAUUGCACUGUGACAACAGAGUGAGAUGUUAGCUCGCAUGCACUCUGCAAGGGAGAGAUAUUGGGCAAUGGGGGGGGGAGUAGCAAAUCAUAGGAUAAUGCAAACAAAAGAUAUUGAAUGAAGGGCUUAGGGAAAAAUUAAGUAGAAAGAAAAUCUUAUGGACUCCUGCCUGUGGGGGGGGGGUGUAUGUACUCUGCAACAUGUAAUUGAUGCAUUAAUAGUUCAUUGGUGGCGGAUUUAUGCUGGACUGGCUGUUUACACAUCAUUCUGCUUUAUUAGUUCUGUGAUGCUUCCUCAACGCUACCAUAUUGUUGCCAUCUGGAGGAGCACUCUUGCACUAUAGCUCAACAGAAGUGGGACAAAGAAUAAACUGGGACAUUUGUGAUAUAAAAAGUUACAGGAUUUCAGCGGGAAGUUACAGGACAUGCAGACUGGAAACAAAGCAGUAUAACUGCCCCAAAACUUUUGCAUGCAAAAACUUUAUUAAAAUUAAGUAAAGGUAAAGGGACCCCGACCGUUAAAUCCAGUCGCGGACGACUCUGGGAUUGCAGCACUCAUCUCACUUUACUGGCCGAGGGAGCCGGCGUACAGCUCCCGGGUUAUGUGGCCAGCAUGACUAAACUGCUUCUGGCGAACCAGAGCAGUGCACAGAAUUGCCGUUUACCUUCCCACCGCAGCGGUACCUAUUUAUCUACUUGCACUUUGACGUGCUUUUGAACUGCAAGUUGGCAGGAGCAGGGACCGAGCAACAGGAGCUCACCCCAUCGCGGGGAUUCAAACCUCCGACCUUCUGAUCGGCAAGCCCAAGGCUCAGUGGUUUAGACCACAGCGCCACCCACGUUAUUAAAAGUAGGAUUACGUUUAACUGCCCCAAAAGAUGCAGCCAUUGUUCCUCUGUAUGUCAUAAAGCCUGCAUGCACACAUUGAUCAUUUAUUUAUUGCAUUUAUACUGUACCUCCCCCCCCCCAGAGCUUUGGGUGGUGUAGGUGGUUCUCCCUCUCCUCAUGUAAUCCCCAUCACAUCUCUGUGAAGUAGAUUUAGGCUGAGAGACCGUGACUGGUACACGGUCACACAAUGAGCUUCAUGACUAAGUGGGGAUUUGAACUAGAGUGUGUCAUAGUCCAACACUCUAAACACUACACUGUUAGAUAAGUAUCAAUAAAAGCUAUGGCUGUUUCAGGCUUUGUGGUGUUUACCAGACCCCUCACCCCUGGUGUUACGUCCAAAGUCUUCAUGAUGGG
rnacentral:lncRNA from 1 species